rnacentral:rRNA from 1 species
CAUGCAAGUCGAACGGUGAUGGCCAGCUUGCUGGUCUGAUCAGUGGCGAACGGGUGAGUAACACGUGAGUAACCUGCCCCAGACUCUGGGAUAAGCCUUGGAAACGAGGUCUAAUACUGGAUAUGAGAUGCCCCUGCAUGGGGAGUGUCUGGAAAGAUUUAUCGGUCUGGGAUGGACUCGCGGCCUAUCAGCUUGUUGGUGGGGUAAUGGCCUACCAAGGCGACGACGGGUAGCCGGCCUGAGAGGGCGACCGGCCACACUGGGACUGAGACACGGCCCAGACUCCUACGGGAGGCAGCAGUGGGGAAUAUUGCACAAUGGGCGCAAGCCUGAUGCAGCGACGCCGCGUGAGGGAUGAAGGCCUUCGGGUUGUAAACCUCUUUCAGCAGGGAAGAAGCGCAAGUGACGGUACCUGCAGAAGAAGCGCCGGCUAACUACGUGCCAGCAGCCGCGGUAAUACGUAGGGCGCAAGCGUUGUCCGGAAUUAUUGGGCGUAAAGAGCUCGUAGGCGGUUUGUCGCGUCUGGUGUGAAAACUCAAGGCUCAACCUUGAGCUUGCAUCGGGUACGGGCAGACUAGAGUGCGGUAGGGGUGACUGGAAUUCCUGGUGUAGCGGUGGAAUGCGCAGAUAUCAGGAGGAACACCGAUGGCGAAGGCAGGUCACUGGGCCGCAACUGACGCUGAGGAGCGAAAGCAUGGGGAGCGAACAGGAUUAGAUACCCUGGUAGUCCAUGCCGUAAACGUUGGGCACUAGGUGUGGGGCUCAUUCCACGAGUUCCGUGCCGCAGCAAACGCAUUAAGUGCCCCGCCUGGGGAGUACGGCCGCAAGGCUAAAACUCAAAGGAAUUGACGGGGGCCCGCACAAGCGGCGGAGCAUGCGGAUUAAUUCGAUGCAACGCGAAGAACCUUACCAAGGCUUGACAUACACCGGAAACUUCCAGAGAUGGUUGCCCCGCAAGGUCGGUGUACAGGUGGUGCAUGGUUGUCGUCAGCUCGUGUCGUGAGAUGUUGGGUUAAGUCCCGCAACG